rnacentral:rRNA from 1 species
UACAGAGGUCUCAAGCGUUGUUCGGAUUCAUUGGGCGUAAAGGGUGUGUAGGUGGCGCGCUAAGUCGGGUGUGAAAUCUCCGAGCUCAACUCGGAAACUGCAUUGGAAACUACCUUGCUCGAGGGUUGGAGGGGGGACUGGAAUGCUUGGUGUAGCAGUGAAAUGCGUAGAUAUCAAGCGGAACACCAGUGGCGAAGGCGAGUCCCUGGACAACUCCUGACACUGAGGCACGAAAGCUAGGGGAGCAAACAGG